rnacentral:rRNA from 1 species
UACGGAGGGGGCUAGCGUUGUUCGGAAUUACUGGGCGUAAAGCGCACGUAGGCGGCUUUUGUAAGUUAGAGGUGAAAGCCCAGGGCUUAACCCUGGAAUUGCCUUUUAAGACUGCAUCGCUAGAAUUGUGGAGAGGUAAGUGGAAUUCCGAGUGUAGAGGUGAAAUUCGUAGAUAUUCGGAAGAACACCAGUGGCGAAGGCGACUUACUGGACACAUAUUUGACGCUGAGGUGCGAAAAGCGUGGGGGAGCAAACAGG